AUACAAUUUCAACACUUAUCUGAUUUUCUCUAAUUACUUAUUAUUAUUAUGUUGCACUAAUUGGAUUUGUCAUAAUCAUUUUGGAGCAUUGAUCCAGAACAUCCUAAAACCUUAUCCACAAAAAUUUAUCUUGGGGCUUCAAUGGCCUCAAAAACAUCAUCCAGACAUCCACAAACUACUACAAACUUUAGCAUAUGAAACUCUGAAACAAUAUUAGCUCAAGCUCAAUGGCUUUAUUUUAGGACCUUCAAUCUUCCAUUGAUGCUUCCAGCAUUGAACUGGUGGUUGCAACUUGCAGCUCCAUUUGAAGAUGUCGAAACAGAUGAGGGACCAUCAGAAGCCUCAAAUUUAAAAGAGGAACCAAUUCAUAUUCUCCAUUCAUAUGUUCUUGAGAAGUUAACCAUUGAAGCUCAAGAAGAGAUGGUAAUAGGCAAGUAAUAAACAAUGGUGGGUUCAAACCAAUAGCAAGUAGGUGAUAAUUCGAACUACGGAAACUAAUCAGGUCACCUUGGAUGGCAAUAUUACUGACUAAAAAGAAGUUUGUUUGUUGGGUUUACCUGUGAAUACAAGAAGGUUCCAAGGAUAGCGAUGGCAGCUCCGAGUGCAUUGACGGGUUGAACUGGUGUAUGGAAGAUAAUGAUUGAAGAAACUAUAACAGAUAUACGCUUCAUGGUGUUUCCAAUGCUAAAUGUCAAAGGAGAGAUCUCAUCUAGAGACAUGUAGGACACCUGAUUGUACAGAUGAUAAAAUACGCUCUGAGCCGCCAACCACCUGUUGAACACAGUUAUCAGCCAUACAUUUAGUUUUCAGAACCAAAAGAGUAGAUAACUCCAAAUCAAAAGUUCAUACAUAUUAAACAGAUCUUGUCAACUUCAUAGUUAGCUGCAGAAUAGGUUUAUUACUUAAUUCUAAUUGCAUAGCAGCAUAAGUGAGGUACUUCAUCACAUGUCUUUUGCUCCUAAACAAAAAUUAGUUAUACUCUCACACAUGGAGAAAAGCAAAUAGCUAACUGUUUGAGAAA